rnacentral:RNase_P_RNA from 1 species
GGGCGGAGGGAAGCUCAUCAGUGGGGUCACAUGUAGGGUGCUUGUCACUCAACCAAUCACCUUGGGGAAGGUCUGAGACAAGAGCCAAUCACUUCCCUAGCAGGGUAUCACCUGAUCUGGGUGAGUGAGUGCACAGAGAAUAUGAGCCAUUGUGAGUUGUCUUUACGGAAGAAACCAGCCAGUACAGCUCUCCAGCACUACUGGUGGAUGUGACCUCACUGGCUUGGAAACACUCAUGGCUGGCAUAUGAGUUUAAUGUGUGAGUUGGAGUACACCUCCAGAACCCAAUUCAGACCACUCUCCGGAAUUCCG